rnacentral:rRNA from 1 species
GAUGAACGCUGGCGGCGUGCCUAAUACAUGCAAGUCGAGCGAACAGACGAGGAGCUUGCUCCUCUGACGUUAGCGGCGGACGGGUGAGUAACACGUGGAUAACCUACCUAUAAGACUGGGAUAACUUCGGGAAACCGGAGCUAAUACCGGAUAAUAUAUUGAACCGCAUGGUUCAAUAGUGAAAGACGGUUUUGCUGUCACUUAUAGAUGGAUCCGCGCCGCAUUAGCUAGUUGGUAAGGUAACGGCUUACCAAGGCGACGAUGCGUAGCCGACCUGAGAGGGGGGUCGGCGACAUUGGAACUGAGACACGGACCAGACUCCUACGGGAGGCAGCAGUAGGGAAUCUUCCGCAAUGGGCGAAAGCCUGAAGGAGCAACGCGGCGUGAGUGAUGAAGGUCUUCGGAUCGUAAAACUCUGUUAUUAGGGAAGAACAAAUGUGUAAGUAACUAUGCACGUCUUGACGGUAACUAAUAAGAAAGCCACGGCUAACUACGUG